rnacentral:rRNA from 1 species
CCUACGGGAGGCAGCAGUGAGGAAUAUUGGUCAAUGGGCGUAAGCCUGAACCAGCCACGCCGCGUGAGGGAUGAAGGUUCUAUGGAUCGUAAACCUCUUUUAUAAGGGAAUAAAGUGUGGGACGUGUCCUAUUUUGCAUGUACCUUAUGAAUAAGGAUCGGCUAACUCCGUGCCAGCAGCCGCGGUAAUACGGAGGAUCCGAGCGUUAUCCGGAUUUAGUGGGUUUAAAGGGUGCGUAGACGGCCGUUUAAGUCAGCGGUGAAAGUCUGUGGCUCAACCCUAGAAUCGCCGUUGAAACAGGGGGGCUUGAGUGUGUUAGAGGCAGGCGGAAUGCGUGGUGUAGCGGUGACAUGCUUAGAUAUCACGAAGAACACCGAUGGCGAAGGCAGCCUGCCGGACCAUGACUGACGCUGAUGCACGAAAGCGUGGGGAGCAAACAGGAUUAGAUACCCGAGUAGUC